rnacentral:rRNA from 1 species
UACGUAGGGUGCAAGCGUUAAUCGGAAUUACUGGGCGUAAAGCGUGCGCAGGCGGUUUUGUAAGUUUGUCGUGAAAUCCCCGGGCUUAACCUGGGAACUGCCUUUGUGACUGCAAGGCUUGAGUGCGGCAGAGGGGGGUGGAAUUCCGCGUGUAGCAGUGAAAUGCGUAGAGAUGCGGAGGAACACCGAUGGCGAAGGCAGCCCCCUGGGCUAACACUGACGCUCAGGCACGAAAGCGUGGGGAGCAAACAGGA